rnacentral:rRNA from 1 species
AACGAACGCUGGCGGCGCGUCUUAAGCAUGCAAGUCGAACGGCAAGAGAGGAGCUUGCUUCUCUCCUAGAGUGGCGGACUGGUGAGGAACACGUGGGUAAUCUACCCUUAAGAUGGGGAUAGCUGCUAGAAAUAGCAGGUAAUACCGAAUACACUCGGCAUAUCACAAGAGGUGUUGAGGAAAGGAAGCUACGGCUUCGCUUGAGGAUGAGCUUGCGUCCCAUUAGCUAGUUGGUGAGGUAAAGGCCCACCAAGGCGACGAUGGGUAUCCGGCCUGAGAGGGUGAACGGACACAUUGGAACUGAGACACGGCCCAAACUCCUACGGGAGGCAGCAGCUAGGAAUAUUCCGCAAUGGACGGAAGUCUGACGGAGCGACGCCGCGUGAAUGAAGAAGGGUGAAAGGUUGUAAAAUCCUUUUGUUGAGGAAGAAUAAGGGUGAGAGGAAAUGCUCAUCUGAUGACGGUAAUCGACGAAUAAGCCCCGGCUAAUUACGUG